GAGAGCCUUUUUCCGUCACUCUUUUUUCAGCUUGGCUUAGCAACAAACACGAAGAUGAGAGAAAGGUCCACUACUACUGACUCCGACGAAACUAACCUCAUUCACUCUCAUUUAUGUCGAUGCCAGCUCUCGCUCUCUCUCAUUCUCUCUCUCUCUCUCUCUCUCUGUCACACAUUUUCUCUCUCUACAGGCAUCUCGAGAAUUCUCUCUCUCUGUCUGUCUGUCUCUCUCUCUCGCUCGUUCGAAAAAUGGGUUUGGCUAUCCAGAAAGAGCUCCUUAGCCGUUUCAUUCAGAAGAUGUGCGAUAAUGGAAUGGUUAACGAUCAGUUUGUUAAAUUACAAGAAUUGAAGAAACCAAAUACGCCCGAGUUCGUUGUGAGGGCAGUCACACUGUACUGCAUGGCACAAUGAAACUGAAGUGAAUUUCUAUGAAGUUGCGCUACAAGCCUGUGAUCUGUAUGAAAGAAGCCGAAUUAUUGGUGCAGAACAUGUCAAGAUUGCAUCUAUCGACAUUCUUCGUAGUUGUCAAGCAUUU